AUACGGAGGGUGCAAGCGUUACUCGGAAUCACUGGGCGUAAAGCGCGCGCAGGCGGCUUGAUAAGUUGGAUGUGAAAGCCUACGGCUCAACCGUAGAACUGCAUCCAAAACUGUCAAGCUAGAGUCUGGGAGGGGAAGAUGGAAUUAGUUGUGUAGGGGUAAAAUUCGUAGAGAUAACUAGGAAUACCAAAAGCGAAGGCGAUCUUCUGGAACAGUACUGACGCUGAGGCGCGAAAGCGUGGGGAGCAAACAGGAUUAGAAACCCCGGUAGUCC
rnacentral:rRNA from 1 species